GAUGAACGCUGGCGGCGUGCCUAAUACAUGCAAGUCGAGCGAACAGACGAGGAGCUUGCUCCUCUGACGUUAGCGGCGGACGGGUGAGUAACACGUGGAUAACCUACCUAUAAGACUGGGAUAACUUCGGGAAACCGGAGCUAAUACCGGAUAAUAUAUUGAACCGCAUGGUUCAAUAGUGAAAGACGGUUUUGCUGUCACUUAUAGAUGGAUCCGCGCCGCAUUAGCUAGUUGGUAAGGUAACGGCUUACCAAGGCAACGAUGCGUAGCCGACCUGAGCGGGUGAUCGGACACCCGGGAACUGAGACACGGUCCAGACUCCUACGGGAGGCAGCAGUAGGGAAUCUUCCGCAAUGGGCGAAAGCCUGACGGAGCAACGCCGCGUGAGUGAUGAAGGUCUUCGGAUCGUAAAACUCUGUUAUUAGGGAAGAACAAAUGUGUAAGUAACUAUGCACGUCUUGACGGUACCUAAUCAGAAAGCCACGGCUAACUACGUG
rnacentral:rRNA from 1 species